rnacentral:rRNA from 1 species
GAUGAACGCUGGCGGCGUGCCUAACACAUGCAAGUCGAGCGAUUCUCUUCGGAGAAGAGCGGCGGACGGGUGAGUAACGCGUGGGUAACCUGCCCUGUACACACGGAUAACAUACCGAAAGGUAUGCUAAUACGAGAUAAUAUGCUUUUAUCGCAUGGUAGAAGUAUCAAAGCUCCGGCGGUACAGGAUGGACCCGCGUCUGAUUAGCUAGUUGGUAAGGUAACGGCUUACCAAGGCGACGAUCAGUAGCCGACCUGAGAGGGUGAUCGGCCACAUUGGAACUGAGACACGGUCCAAACUCCUACGGGAGGCAGCAGUGGGGAAUAUUGCACAAUGGGCGAAAGCCUGAUGCAGCAACGCCGCGUGAGCGAUGAAGGCCUUCGGUCGUAAAGCUCUGUCCUCAAGGAAGAUAAUGACGGUACUUGAGGAGGAAGACCCCGGCUAACUACGUGCCAGCAGCCGCGGUAAU